rnacentral:rRNA from 1 species
GAUGAACGCUAGCGACAGGCCUAACACAUGCAAGUCGAGGGGCAGCAUGAAUGUAGCAAUACAUUCGAUGGCGACCGGCGCACGGGUGAGUAACACGUAUGCAAUCUACCCUCUACAGGGAAAUAGCCCGUUGAAAGACGGAUUAAUGUCCCAUAACACAGCAAUUCCGCAUGGAGUAUCUGUUAAAGAUUUAUCGGUAGAAGAUGAGCAUGCGCUCCAUUAGAUAGUAGGCGGGGUAACGGCCCACCUAGUCAACGAUGGAUAGGGGAACUGAGAGGUUUAUCCCCCACACUGGUACUGAGACACGGACCAGACUCCUACGGGAGGCAGCAGUGAGGAAUAUUGGUCAAUGGGCGAGAGCCUGAACCAGCCAAGUCGCGUGAAGGAUGACAGCCCUACGGGUUGUAAACUUCUUUUUAAGGAGAGUAAAACAGAGGACGUGUCCUCUCUUGCAAGUAUCCUUAGAAUAAGCAUCGGCUAACUCCGUGCCAGCAGCCGCAGUAAAAC